AGAAGGGGUCGAGUCGGGGUGUGGAGACCUCACUUAGAGAGCAUCUCCGAGUCUCCAAACGACGGUUGAUCAUCAUCAAAGUACAGUGUGUUAUAUUACUACUAUUUUUCGUUUAGAAAAAUAGGGUUUUACAGUUUUCUU